rnacentral:rRNA from 1 species
AGUAACGCGUGGGUAACCUGCCUCAUACAGGGGGAUAACAGUUAGAAAUGACUGCUAAUACCGCAUAAGCGCACAGUGCUGCAUGGCACAGUGUGAAAAACUCCGGUGGUAUGAGAUGGACCCGCGUCUGAUUAGCUAGUUGGUGGGGUAACGGCCUACCAAGGCGACGAUCAGUAGCCGGCCUGAGGGGGUGACCGGCCACAUUGGGACUGAGACACGGCCCAG